CGUGAGUGAUGAAGGCUUUCGGGUCGUAAAGCUCUGUCAAGUGGGAAGAACCUGUAGAGUGUUAAUAUCAUUUUACACUGACGGUACCACUAAAGGAAGCACCGGCUAACUCCGUGCCAGCAGCCGCGGUAAUACGGGGGUGCAAGCGUUAUUCGGAAUCAUUGGGCGUAAAGGGCGCGUAGGCGGCCUGUUAAGUCAGAUGUGAAAGCCCGGGGCUCAACCUCGGAAGUGCAUUUGAAACUAAUAGGCUUGAGUAUGGGAGAGGGAAGUGGAAUUCCUGGUGUAGAGGUGAAAUUCGUAGAUAUCAGGAGGAACACCGGUGGCGAAGGCGACUUCCUGGACCAAUACUGACGCUGAGGCGCGAAGGCGUGGGUAGCAAACAGGAUUAGAUACCCUGGUAGUCCACGCAGUAAACGUUGUUCACUAGGUGUAGCGGGUAUUGACCCCUGCUGUGCCGCAGUUAACGCAUUAA
rnacentral:rRNA from 1 species